rnacentral:misc_RNA from 1 species
GAAAUGCGAUAAGUAGUGUGAAUUGCAGAAUUCAGUGAAUCAUCGAAUCUUUGAACGCACAUUGCGCUUCCUGGUAUUCCGGGGAGCAUGCUCGUUUCAGAAUCAUUUAAAACUCACAAGCCUUUGCGGCGUUUGUCGCAUUGGUGCGUGGAUAUGAGCGCAUUGGCUGGAUUUACUUCCACCAACCCAAUCGCUUUAAAAUGAUUUUGUACGCAACCCUCGCCUUCUUUUGUGGGCUGCCAACAGUGCGACAGUUUUUAACAGUUCAUUUUUGGCUGCCACCACGAGAAGAGCGUGGCGUGUAUUUCUACCUCCAAACACAUUGCAUUGUUGGCGCAAGCCCUAUGCUUUGAAACUUGGUCUGAAAUCGAGCAAGAAAACCCGCUGAACUUAA